rnacentral:sRNA from 1 species
UAAAAGUCCCAGAUAGCAGCCAUGAUCCAUCCCGUGUAAAACACGGUCUGUUUCAUGGAUAUUAGAUGGGCUAAACUGUAUGAGCAAGUAGGGCGUUUGCCUAGAUUGCUCAUACAGGUGGCGAUUGCGAGAGCACCAGAGUGCCAAGCAAUCGACUUUUA